CCUACGGGUGGCUGCAGUGAGGAAUAUUGGUCAAUGGACGCAAGCCUGAACCAGCCAUGUCGCGUGAAGGAUGACUGCCCUAUGAGUUGUAAACUGCUUUUGUACGAGGGUAAAGUCAGGUACGUGUACCUGUCUGAAAGUAUCUUACGAAUAAGGAUCGGCUAACUCCGUGCCAGCAGCCGCGGUAAUACGGAGGAUCCAAGCGUUAUCCGGAUUUAUUGGGUUUAAAGGGUGCGUAGGCGGGCGGAUAAGUCAGUUGUGAAAGCCUGAGGCUCAACCUUAGAAUUGCCUGUGAUACUGGUCGGCUAGAGAAUAGUUGCGGUAGGCGGAAUGCAUGGUGUAGCGGUGAAAUGCUUAGAGAUCAUACAGAACACCGAUUGCGAAGGCAGCUUACCAAGCUGCUACUGACGUUGAUGCACGAAAGCGUGGGGAUCAAACAGGAUUAGAUACCCGUGUAGUC
rnacentral:rRNA from 1 species